rnacentral:rRNA from 1 species
UAGUGGCGGACGGGUGAGUAACGCGUGGGAAUCUGCCCUCAGGAGGGGGAUAACGGUUGGAAACGACCGCUAAUACCCCAUAUGCCGAGAGGUGAAACGAAAUUCGCCUGAGGAUGAGCCCGCGUCUGAUUAGCUAGUUGGUGGGGUAAGGGCCUACCAAGGCAUCGAUCAGUAGCUGGUCUGAGAGGAUGAUCAGCCACACUGGGGCUGAGACACGGCCCAGACUCCUACGGGAGGCAGCAGUGGGGAAUUUUCCGCAAUGGGCGCAAGCCUGACGGAGCAACGCCGCGUGAGGGAUGAAGGCCUCUGGGCUGUAAACCUCUUUUCUCAAGGAAGAAGAACUGACGGUACUUGAGGAAUAAGCCACGGCUAA